rnacentral:rRNA from 1 species
AUGAAUCUCGGUGGGGAGUCAUCACGGAUCUCCUGUUCAGAUCUGGCAUUGGUGAAUCAAGGGGAGGAGGAUGACGAGUGUGGGGGUGGAGGGAUGGCGUUACCGAUUCUCCUUCACCGAGAUUCUGCAUCUCAAGUUCAUGUCCCAGAUAUUGACUACACCGACAGUCACAGAGAACCCCCAUCUGAAUCGCAACACACUCCAACUCCGUGGCCUCAAAGGGUCCGACUCGGCAAGAUACACGACCGCCGCGCCUCAUUAUCGGGAAGGAAAAGUGCUUUGGAGAAGGCCAUGAGAAAUUAUACAGAUCGGAUCGGAGAUCGCCAGAGGAGGAAGACGGCGGCGAGUGUUCCUCCACGUCGCUUCUUCGUCCUCAAGCCAAGAUGGAGAGAAAUCUGCUAG